rnacentral:tRNA from 1 species
GAUUCUAUGGUGUAGUGGUUAGCACUCUGGCCUCUGAAUCAAGUAGUCUGAGUUGAAAUCUCGGUAGAACCU